rnacentral:rRNA from 1 species
GGGUUGUGAGGUUAAGCGACUAAGCGUACACGGUGGAUGCCCUGGCAGUCAGAGGCGAUGAAGGACGUGCUAAUCUGCGAAAAGCGCCGGCGAGGUGAUAUGAACCUUUGACCCGGCGAUGUCCGAAUGGGGAAACCCAGUGUGAUUCGUCACACUAUCGUUAACUGAAUACAUAGGUUAACGAGGCGAACCGGGGGAACUGAAACAUCUAAGUACCCCGAGGAAAAGAAAUCAACCGAGAUUCCCCCAGUAGCGGCGAGCGAACGGGGAGCAGCCCAGAGUCUGAAUCAGCUUGUGUGUUAGUGGAAGCGUCUGGAAAGUCGCACGGUACAGGGUGACAGUCCCGUACACGAAAGCACACAGGCUGUGAACUCGAAGAGUAGGGCGGGACACGUGGUAUCCUGUCUGAAUAUGGGGGGACCAUCCUCCAAGGCUAAAUACUCCUGACUGACCGAUAGUGAACCAGUACCGUGAGGGAAAGGCGAAAAGAACCCCGGCGAGGGGAGUGAAAAAGAACCUGAAACCGUGUACGUACAAGCAGUGGGAGCCUCUUUUAUGGGGUGACUGCGUACCUUUUGUAUAAUGGGUCAGCGACUUAUAUUCUGUAGCAAGGUUAACCGUAUAGGGGAGCCGAAGGGAAACCGAGUCUUAACUGGGCGUUAAGUUGCAGGGUAUAGACCCGAAACCCGGUGAUCUAGCCAUGGGCAGGUUGAAGGUUGGGUAACACUAACUGGAGGACCGAACCGACUAAUGUUGAAAAAUUAGCGGAUGACUUGUGGCUGGGGGUGAAAGGCCAAUCAAACCGGGAGAUAGCUGGUUCUCCCCGAAAGCUAUUUAGGUAGCGCCUCGUGAACUCAUCUUCGGGGGUAGAGCACUGUUUCGGCUAGGGGGCCAUCCCGGCUUACCAACCCGAUGCAAACUACGAAUACCGAAGAAUGUUAUCACGGGAGACACACGGCGGGUGCUAACGUCCGUCGUGAAGAGGGAAACAACCCAGACCGCCAGCUAAGGUCCCAAAGUCAUGGUUAAGUGGGAAACGAUGUGGGAAGGCACAGACAGCCAGGAUGUUGGCUUAGAAGCAGCCAUCAUUUAAAGAAAGCGUAAUAGCUCACUGGUCGAGUCGGCCUGCGCGGAAGAUGUAACGGGGCUAAACCAUGCACCGAAGCUGCGGCAGCGACGCUUAUGCGUUGUUGGGUAGGGGAGCGUUCUGUAAGCCGUUGAAGGUGUCCUGUGAGGGGUGCUGGAGGUAUCAGAAGUGCGAAUGCUGACAUAAGUAACGAUAAAGCGGGUGAAAAGCCCGCUCGCCGGAAGACCAAGGGUUCCUGUCCAACGUUAAUCGGGGCAGGGUGAGUCGACCCCUAAGGCGAGGCCGAAAGGCGUAGUCGAUGGGAAACAGGUUAAUAUUCCUGUACUUGGUGUUACUGCGAAGGGGGGACGGAGAAGGCUAUGUUAGCCGGGCGACGGUUGUCCCGGUUUAAGCAUGUAGGCGGAGGUUCCAGGUAAAUCCGGUUCCUUGUUAACGCUGAGGUGUGAUGACGAGGCACUACGGUGCUGAAGUAACAAAUGCCCUGCUUCCAGGAAAAGCCUCUAAGCAUCAGGUAACAUCAAAUCGUACCCCAAACCGACACAGGUGGUCAGGUAGAGAAUACCAAGGCGCUUGAGAGAACUCGGGUGAAGGAACUAGGCAAAAUGGUGCCGUAACUUCGGGAGAAGGCACGCUGAUAUGUAGGUGAAGCCCCUGCGGGUGGAGCUGAAAUCAGUCGAAGAUACCAGCUGGCUGCAACUGUUUAUUAAAAACACAGCACUGUGCAAACACGAAAGUGGACGUAUACGGUGUGACGCCUGCCCGGUGCCGGAAGGUUAAUUGAUGGGGUUAGCGGUAACGCGAAGCUCUUGAUCGAAGCCCCGGUAAACGGCGGCCGUAACUAUAACGGUCCUAAGGUAGCGAAAUUCCUUGUCGGGUAAGUUCCGACCUGCACGAAUGGCGUAAUGAUGGCCAGGCUGUCUCCACCCGAGACUCAGUGAAAUUGAACUCGCUGUGAAGAUGCAGUGUACCCGCGGCAAGACGGAAAGACCCCGUGAACCUUUACUAUAGCUUGACACUGAACACUGGUCCUUGAUGUGUAGGAUAGGUGGGAGGCUUUGAAGCGUGGACGCCAGUCUGCGUGGAGCCAACCUUGAAAUACCACCCUUUAAUGGCUGGUGUUCUAACGUAGACCCGUAAUCCGGGUUGCGGACAGUGUCUGGUGGGUAGUUUGACUGGGGCGGUCUCCUCCCAAAGAGUAACGGAGGAGCACGAAGGUUAGCUAAUCCUGGUCGGACAUCAGGAGGUUAGUGCAAUGGCAUAAGCUAGCUUGACUGCGAGAGUGACGGCUCGAGCAGGUGCGAAAGCAGGUCAUAGUGAUCCGGUGGUUCUGAAUGGAAGGGCCAUCGCUCAACGGAUAAAAGGUACUCCGGGGAUAACAGGCUGAUACCGCCCAAGAGUUCAUAUCGACGGCGGUGUUUGGCACCUCGAUGUCGGCUCAUCACAUCCUGGGGCUGAAGUAGGUCCCAAGGGUAUGGCUGUUCGCCAUUUAAAGUGGUACGCGAGCUGGGUUUAGAACGUCGUGAGACAGUUCGGUCCCUAUCUGCCGUGGGCGCUGGAGAAUUGAGGGGGGCUGCUCCUAGUACGAGAGGACCGGAGUGGACGCAUCACUGGUGUUCGGGUUGUCAUGCCAAUGGCACUGCCCGGUAGCUAAAUGCGGAAGAGAUAAGUGCUGAAAGCAUCUAAGCACGAAACUUGCCCCGAGAUGAGUUCUCCCUGAGACUUUAAGUCUCCUGAAGGAACGUUGAAGACUACGACGUUGAUAGGUCGGGUGUGUAAGCGCAGCGAUGCGUUGAGCUAACCGAUACUAAUGAACCGUGAGGCUUAACCUUACAACGCCGAAGGUGUUU